AUUGAACGCUGGCGGCAGGCCUAACACAUGCAAGUCGAACGAGUGGCGGACGGGUGAGUAAUGUCUGGUAAACUGCCUGACGGAGGGGGAUAACUACUGGAAACUGUUGCUACUCCCGCAUACCAACAGAUGGGCCCAGAUGGGAUUCGCUAGUGGGGGGGGUAACGGCUCACCCAGGCGACGAUCCCUAGCUGGUCUGAGAGGAUGACCAGCCACACUGGAACUUAGAGACGGUCCAGACGCCUACGUGAGGCAACAGUGGGGAAUAUAGCACAAGGGGCGCAAGCCUGAUGCAGCCAUGCCGCGUGUAUGAAGAAGGCCUUCGGGUUGUAAAGUACUUUCAGCGGGGAGGCGUUACCCGCAGAAGAAGCACCGGCUAACUCCGUGCCAGCAGCCGCGGUAAUAC
rnacentral:rRNA from 1 species